UAACUGGGUGUAAAGGGCACGCAGGCGGUGACUUAAGUGAGGUGUGAAAGCCCCGGGCUUAACCUGGGAAUUGCAUUUCAUACUGGGUCGCUAGAGUACUUUAGGGAGGGGUAGAAUUCCACGUGUAGCGGUGAAAUGCGUAGAGAUGUGGAGGAAUACCGAAGGCGAAGGCAGCCCCUUGGGAAUGUACUGACGCUCAUGUGCGAAAGCGUGGGGAGCAAACAGGAUUAGAUACCCUGGUAGUCCACGCUGUAAACGAUGUCGAUUUGGGGGUUGAACUUUAAGUUUGGCGCCCGUAGCUAACGUGAUAAAUCGACCGCCUGGGGAGUACGGCCGCAAGGUUAAAACUCAAAUGAAUUGACGGGGGCCCGCACAAGCGGUGGAGCAUGUGGUUUAAUUCGAUGCAACGCGAAGAACCUUACCUACUCUUGACAUCCAGAGAACAUUCCAGAGAUGGAUUGGUGCCUUCGGGAACUCUGAGACAGGUGCUGCAUGGCUGUCGUCAGCUCGUGUCGUGAGAAG
rnacentral:rRNA from 1 species